rnacentral:misc_RNA from 1 species
UUGAGGCCUUAAGAGUAGC